rnacentral:rRNA from 1 species
GCAGUCGAGCGGAUGAAGGAGCUUGCUCCUGGAUUCAGCGGCGGACGGGUGAGUAAUGCCUAGGAAUCUGCCUGGUAUGCGGACAACGUUUCGAAAGGAACGCUUAUACCGCAUAAGUCCUUUGAUAGAAAUUAAUUGACCUGCAGGCACCCUUUUUUGAACUAUGUUCCAACAAGGAACCCUUGGGCUCUCGAUCGAAAAAGAAACGAACCAAAUGGCAAUAAUGAAUUUAAUUUGCAAAAUUCCGGGAUUCUUCAAAUUUUAAACGCCCCUUGCCAUCGUUGGAAUUCUUGAGACAGGCCGGUUGAUGAUCUUUGAAUUUU